rnacentral:lncRNA from 1 species
UGGACUUGCCUGGGGACAACAUCCCAAAGGAUGGCAUCUUGAACUUGGGCAUUUUGAACUUGCUGUCUUUGGCAGUCACGUCCUUGUCAGCCAGGGACAGGUCUCCCUCCAGCCGCCCAGCAUCCAGCUUGGCCUUCGGGGCCUGGACAUCCACCUCCACGCUGGGCAGAGACACCUCGACAUCGGGGACUCUCACUUCUGCCUUGGGGCCUUUCAGGUCCAGCUUGGGGCCCUUAACAUCUAUCUGGGGGCCCUUGAGGUCCACUUUGGGCAUCUUGAAACUGGGCAUCUCCACUUUGGGCAGGUGC